rnacentral:rRNA from 1 species
GACGAAGGGUGCAAGCGUUGUUCGGAAUCACUGGGCUUAAAGCGCACGCAGGCGGAUUGAUAAGUCGGUGGUGAAAGCCCGGGGCUCAACCUCGGAAUUGCCUUGGAUACUGUCGGUCUUGAGUCCGGGAGAGGUGAGUGGAACUUUUAGUGUAGAGGUGAAAUUCGUAGAUAUCAGGAAGAACACCAGUGGCGAAGGCGGGGCACUGGCCCGGUACUGACGCUAAGGUGCGAAAGCGUGGGGAGCAAACGGG